UGCUUCGGAGACUCGGGGAGGGUGGGAGAAGGGCGGUCGCUGCCAAGUUCGGUCCCUCUGCCUUCUUUUCCCCUUCUGCCACUCCUGAUUCUCCACGCCAACCAGGACCCCUGAGGGGAAGAUUCCCGAGAGGAGGAAAGAGCUGGAGAAGAUGGAGGGGAUGGAGUCCAAGAAGGGCAGGGUCAGGCUUUCCUGGUGGCUCAGAGGUGCCUGCAAUAUGGGAGACCUGGGAUCCAUCUCUGGGUCAGGAAGAUCCCCUGGAGAAUGGAAUGACUACUCACUCCAGUAUUCUUGCCUGGGGAAUUGUAUGGACAGAGGAGCCUGGUGAGCAACAGUCCAGAGUCAGACAUGACUGAGUGAAUAACACUUUCACUUUUCCACUUACAUCACCACAGAGUACCGGGUAGAGUUUCCUGUGCUAUACAGUAGGUUCUCUUUAGUAUCUGUUUUAUACACAGUAGUAUGUAUAUCUGUCACUCCCAAUCUCCCAAUUCAUCCCAUUCUACCCCCACCUUGCCCCAUUGGUAUCCAUAUAUUUGUUCUCUAUGUCAUGUCUGCUUUGCAAAUAAGAUAAUCUAUAUCAUUUUUCUAGAUUCCACAUAUAUACUUUAAUAAAUGAUAUUUGUUUUCCUCUAUCGCUGAAACUACAGUACUUUGGCCACCUCACGCGAAGAGUUGACUCAUUGGAAAAGACCCUGAUGCUGGGAGGGAUUGGGGGCAGGCGGAGAAGGGCAUGACAGAAGAUGAGAUGGCUGGAUGGCAUCACCAUCUCGAUGGACGUGAGUUUGAGUAAACUCCGGGAGUUGGUGAUGGACAGGGAGGCCUGGCGUGCUGAGAUUCAUGGGGUCGCAAGGAGUCGGACACGACUGAGUGGCUGAACUGAACUGAACUGAUCUGACUUAACUUCACUCUGUAGGACAGUUUCUAGGUCCAUCCAUGUCUCUGCAAAUGACAUAAUCUUUUUAUGACUGAGUAAUAUUCUAUUGUAUAUAGGUACCACAUCUUCUUUAUCUAUCCCUCUGUUGAUGGACAUGUAGGUUGCUUCCAUGUCCUGGCUAUUAUAAAUAGUGCUGCAGUGAACACUGCAGUGCAUGUGUCUUUUUGAAUUGUGGUUUUCUCUGGUCCUCGAGAACUGUUUUAAUUGCCAAUAAAUGAAUUAUGAACCAAAAGUUAUCUAAAUGAUGAGAAUGUUUAAUUUCUCGCUUAAUUCUUAAUUUCAUUUAAGAAUCUAGGAGGUCAUUGUUCUAGAGAAGGCUCAGUGGCUCAGUGAAGAUAUCAAGGAUUCAGAUUCUUUCCAUAACUGUGCUCUGCCAUCUUCAGGGUGUUGGCCAAGGCUAUCUUCAUGGUCACUAGAUGGCUGCAGCACUUCAGGCAUUACAUUCUCGUAAUAAACACGAGACCUACAAUCUGCCCCAAGAAAUUAUUGGUACACACAAUUAACCAAUUGAAAAAAAAAAAUCAUCUUUUUAUAGCCUGUCAGUGAAUGAAGGGAAUGAUAAUAGUGGCUACCACACUGUGGCACUAGGAAAUGGCAGGCGCGGUGAUGAUACUUUGCACACUAUACCUUAUUCACCUCUCACAACUUGCCCCACUUCCCAAUGACAACUGAGAUUCAGGGAGGUCAAGUAAUUUGGCCUAUUUUAUGACCAGGAAAUGAAGAAACUGGCAUUCAAACUCCAGUCCGUGUGACUCUAGGCCUGUUUUUUUUUACCUUUUUAAAAUGAAAGGAAUACAUAUUUAUGGUAAGAAUCUCAAACAGUACUGACCUUGACUUUUUGUUUUUCAACACUGUAUGUGUUCAUAAUAAGAAUUUUAAAUAGUGUAAAGUGUAGAGUGAAAUUUGCUUUGCUCCCCUCUGGGCAGUUCCCACAGUUCCCACCAGGAAAUUCCUCUGUAAUCAUAAACUCAGAUUUCUAAAUAUUUUGUAUAAAUUAGGUCAAUUUAGACACUUUUCUGUAUUUGUUUUUAAAAAUUAAUGUAUCUUGCAGAUAUAAUGUUGCCAUAUAUAGAUUCUGCUUUCUUUGUUGUGGAUACGUUGUAUUACAUAGAAUGCAAUUGCUUUUUUAAAAAAAAUAAUUAAACCAGUCCUUUCUGCUGGAAUUUAUGUUAUUUCCUAUAUUUUUUGCUAUUAAAACAUGUAAAAAUAAAUACAUUAUAUGUACAGUUUUGUGUGCAUGCAUAAGAAUAAAAUUUUCAACUGGUGGUACAUGUAAAGUAUCUAUAGAUAGUUGGCAAAUUGGUCUUCAAAAAGAUUGCACAAUAAUACUUGAAAAUGCUAAUUUUCUCAGACUUAUACCAAUGUUUGAGUCUUAUCAAACUAAUGUUUUGGCUAAUUUGAUAAGUGAAAAAUGAUAUCUUAAUGCUUGUUUUGAUUUGCAAUUCCUUUACUAUGAGUAAGAUACUGUUUAGCCAGGCGCUGCCUAGAUGAGAGUUCCUAUUUGGUCCUUGGAAGUUGUGUGAUGUUGGGCAAGUUGCUGAGCCCCAUGAUUUCAGUUUCUUCCUCUGUCAAAUGGGGAUAUGAGAAUGGCCUUAUUAGUUGGAUUUCAGGAUUUAAUGACAUCACACAUUUAAAGUGCUAGCAUAAUUCCUAGCUCGAAAUAAGGGCUAAGUAAAUGUUGUAGCUGUUACUGUUAUCUGCUUACAGACCACUUGACUCUGUUUAUGAUCUGCCUGUAUAUAUCUAUAUUCCUUUUGUGUUGGAUUCUUCUUCUUCUUGAUUUGUUAGAACUCCUUUUAUAUUAAUAACAUGGUCCUUUACAUAUAUGUUACAAGAAUUAGGUUGGUGCAAAAAUAAUUGUGGUUUUGCACUGUUGAACUUGCUGUUGGAUAUUGGAAUACAUUUUAAAAUAAAUGUAAUUAUGUUAUACAUCA